rnacentral:lncRNA from 1 species
CAUAAUCAAUAAAAGUCCAUUUUAUGUGAAAUUCCAACAGUCGUAUCAAGGUUUACUUAAGUUGGUUCACACCUUUAAAUCGGAUAUAAAUGGCUACAAUUUUGCACAGAGGGGUUGCCUUCUCAUGGUAAACUCAAGAACCACGACUCCGGACUUCUGAUCAGCCUCCCUAUGAAAGUCUGGAAGGAUUAAAUCAAUCAAACUACAUGUCUGUCAUUAGACUACGCUGGGUUGCAGCUACAUGUCUAUCGUUUGACUGCAAAAGUCUUUGACAUUCAAACAGCAGAAGGAACCAUUUUAUGUCUUCAGUAAUGGAGUUUGGCUUCAAAAGUCCUUGAUAAGCUUUGCUUUAUUUAAAGUUGCAUUAGGAAAUCACAAUCUAACAUACCAAACAUGAAGUUAUAGCCUCAUCAAUACAGUAGAUUUUUCUUGCCAAUUGAAGAUAUCUCGUCUUUUGUUGGCACUUCUUGUGCUUGGUCUUGGUGAUAGUUGCCCAGGCUCACUGUGCACUCCUGGAUCUUUUAAUAAAAGUUGUGCAAAGGGAGAUCAUUACCUUGCACAACAUCUCGUAAUUGGUCUCUUCAGCAUGAUUCAUUUAAAUGUGCAUGCUAUGGAGCAGAUUACGCAAGGGGUAUCCACCAAUGCAAAAUAUAAACCUCUUAUCUCUUGGAACCUCCAUUUGUUGAAUGAAUGAACGAGGGAACUGCUGAAGCGAUAACGAGAAAGCUGGGAGCUCUGCAUGAAAGGUUUUUAAAGGUUAAUAAUGAGGAUGACUACUUUUAAUGAAAGCUUUUACAAAAUGGAGAAAAGAAAAGGACAAAAAUAAUAACAAAACAAAGUAGAAAACUAUCCUUCUUCUAUUGUCUUCUAAUAUAAAGUGGGAAAGCCUAGGGUUCAGCAUGCAAAGCGUGGUAGACUUUAAGACCAUCCGUAAGGCAGAGUUGCGUUCAAACUAAAGAUAUUUAUUAUGGGCCCAUUUAUUUAUGUUCUAACUACAAGUGGACAACAUUUCUCAACAAACUACUUUUCCAUAACCAAACAAAAGCGUUUCAACCUAGCUACUUUUUAUUUUUUCUUUUCAUUCAAAACAAAAUUCGAACCUUGAGAAAUUAUAAAACCACAAUUAGAUUUAAGAUUUUCAACCCAAGGGAUGAACAGUAGAAAUCAGAAAGUGUAGUCAUAAGUUUGGAGUUCUGGAGUAAUUCGAUUGGUGGUAAAAGUUUAGAAUUUGGAAAAAUCCAAGAAAUUCAUCUAAAGUUUGACCAAAUUAAGAUAACCGAAAUAAAGAAUAAACAACAACUGAAAAAAGCUUCUUGAAAUACUCGUAUACUUAUUUACUUUCAAAAUAAGUGUACAAGAUACACAAAUGGCAAAUGAGAGCAAAAUAAUCAACAACAAUAAAUGUUACCAUUAGUUCGUAAAACACAAAGAUUUCUUAAAUUAGUCAAGAAUAACUUGUGAAUAAAUCAUAAAAUCUGUCUAAGAUUCAAUAACAAUUGAAGAAUUCUGAAUUGAUAUAUUCAUAGAGAAUAAUUUGGAGAAUCACUAGACCAAGAGAACAAUUGAGAACAACUCAGAAAUUUCUAAUAGUUUAAAUAAUAUUCACAAAUACUAUGUCCCCAAAUCACAUACAAGUGGGCGAUGCAUAGUAAGAGAGGUUUUGGCAUAACAGAAGUAUCUUUUUUUUCCUCUCCUUGAGAGAGAUGGUGAGAGAGUACCCAUUUACUUAUAAAAAUAUAUAAAGAAUUAACUAUGUCAAACAUUCGAGGAAACAUCCUUCCAAGGUCCAAACAUUGAACACGUUUCCAAUAUGAGGUGUGUGCUGUAAUCCAAGAGGCUAAUGUAUUACUGAGUUUGCAACAUUACACUAACAAAAGAUACAUACCGUAUUCACAAAACUCUUUUUUGAGUAGCACGUUUCCAUAAUGAUAGAAAAUUGACAUAAAAUUAUUUUUCAUCCUAUAAACAAUAAAAAUAUCCAUAUAAUGGUUGUUUAAACCAAAUAAAAGCUAAAUGGAGAUGAUAUUCAAAUAACUAUUGUAUAUGCAUGUAUAAUGAUUUUGGGAUUGUACGGUUGGUUAUGACAAUAAACCUUACUCCUUUUUUUUCCUUGAGAGAAGCAAGAAGCAUAACAUUUUAACAAGAAAAAACCAUCAAUAUAUAUAUAGUUCAUCAUUCUCAUAAAAAUAAAAGCCGAAGAUCUUGACAAAGCUUAAUUUUAACCAAAAAAAUGAAAACAAAAGGAUAAUGAUAAUAUAUUUGAUCAGCAUGAUGGUAACAAUUUGUAGAACAUGUGAAAGGUAUAAAAUAUGAGAUCAAAAAUAUACGUAAAUAAUCCACCAAGUCGAAGUUCAAACUGCAAUAAGCUUCAUCAACUCGUCUCUUUCUCUCUCUCCCUCUCUCACUCACUCUAACUAGUUUUGGAGUGAGUUCUCUCUCAUUUUAGG